GACAAUGAAUGUGGUGAUCAGUGUAAAAAAUGUUAUGACUUACAAAGUUGGCAUGAGAUUCUUGGACAUUGCAAUUACAGAGAUGUACUGAAGCUAGAAAAUGUUGUUCAAGGCAUGGAAAUUAAAGGGAGAGGUGAACCGAAGCCAUAUUGUGAAGUCUGCACAAAAGGAAAAUUUGUUCAAACUAGGAACAAGGAGCCAGAUGCAAGAGCUAAAGAACCGCUAGCAAUGGUCCACACAGAUUUAGCAGGACCUAUAGACCCAAUGUCCAAAGAUGGUCACAGAUAUGCAUUAUCCUUCACAGAUGAUUAUUCCAGUGCAGUCUUUGUAUACUUUUUGAAAAAUAAGAGUGACACAGUACAAGCGACUGAAAAGUUUAUUGCUGACAUGGCUCCACAUGGAAAGAUUAAAUGUAUGAGGUCAGACAAUGGUACAGAAUUCACAGGAAAAGAGUAUCAGGCAUUACUGAGUAGAAAUGGUAUUAGACAUGAGACCUCAGCACCAUAUUCUCCACAUCAAAAUGGUACGGCAGAACGAAAUUGGAGAACUUUGUUUGACAUGGCUAGAUGUAUGUUAAUCGAUGGUGAGAUGCCAAAAAUGUUAUGGCCGUAUGCAGUUCAGACAGCUGCUGUAGUGCAAAAUAGAUCAGAAACUGGAACAGAAUGUUGCAUGACUAUCUAUGUGAAAUCAAGUUUGUUCAAAACCCUGCUGAUCAUUGUGUUUACACAAAGAUUACUGAUACUGAAACUGUGUUUAUCAUUAUAUGGGUCGAUGAUUUGAUUAUUGCUGCCAGUGAUAUGAAUAUCCUUAGAGAUAUAAAAGAAAAACUUAACUCCAAAUUUAGGAUGAAGGACUUAGGAAACUUGACACAUUUUCUUGGCAUUGACUUUGAGAGAGAUCCUGACAGUAUUAAAAUGUCACAGUCGAAGUAUGUAAAGAAAAUACUG